CUUCGUCCUCAACUCCUCUCCUCUCUUCACCCGUGUCUACUUCCUCUUACCCCCUCGUCGAUCUCCCCACUAAAUCAGCCUCGUCGGCGACGAGCGGUUCGCCGGGAAGCCGCAGGGUGGUCGUCCUGGUGGGUGGGAGCGGUGGAGCAGCCUCUCCGCGGACGCGCGGAUCGACGCAUCCGAGGCGGGCGCUGGGAUUCGACGCAUUUGAGGUGGGGUGGACGGGCUUGGAGGCGGAGGCGAGAGGGCAUCGGCGGUGUGGUGCUGCGUCCAGGCUGCGGUGUACUUCUGUCUUUUUUUUGGGAGCUGAGACAUAGCCCCGGCUGGAAGAUGUGCAGGCUAUGGUGCCAAAUUCUUCGUCCAAUUUUUAGGACUGAACGAGUGUUCCAGCAGGUAUACUCGUAGCAGUCUCCUUCGUUGCCAUGCUCCAUGGACGAGCUGGCUCCGCCCAACGCUUGAUUUGUACCUCUGUAUCUAAUAUAUUUCUGUCACGGUGGUGCUUGUAGAGUAGUUUCAGCGUCGCUGUUACAUGCCUCUGUUUCAAUUCAUGCUGACAGUUUAGAGCAUUAACAACAUCCUGACAGUCACACUCCAUGGUUAUGGGUUGGUUGAGAGUGGCCUCAAUCUUCAUGCUUUCUAGGACAGCCAAGGCUUUAGCUUCUUCUGCUAAUUGGCAUCGCAUAAUAGAGCCUCAAGCAGAUAUGAUAAUUUCCCCUGUAUGGUUCCUGGCUAUUGCCCCCAUUGCCCCGUACCAUCUUCAGAAAUGAAGGAGGCGUCGGUGUUGAUUUUCAGCCGACCUGUACUAGUAUUGCUCCAGGAAAUGCAAGAUUUUCUGUCAGUUAUAAUAUGAUUAGUAGUAACACGUUCAGGAAAAAAACGUGAUCUUCCCUAUUCCUUUAUGGUUGUGUUUGUUCCAGCUAUUCUUGAUCAAAAUGGUGGUGUUAAGAUAGUUUUUAAUGAACUAAGCUAAGUUAUUGAUCGAAGCAUCGCCUAUGCCGAAGAUGGUGUCGUUGCGCAGAUGCCACACCAUCCACCAUAAUAACAAGAGCUUUGAUCUCAUUUCCAUUAUCUGAUUGUCUAGGAUGACCCAUUGAUCCUCAGUUUUUCCCGCUCUUCUUCUUUGGGUAGAUGCCAGACCUCACGCAUAGCCUAAUGGAGGGCUUGAGCUUUGGUGCAUGACACGACCGCACAGAGUUCAGGUCAUACAUGUUUCUCCAUACCAUAGUAUGUUUUGAUGCAUUUCUAUAGUGUGCAGCUAUGCGCUCUGAGUUUUUUCUGUUAAAAAAGCACUUAAUCGCAUGUUCAAUUUUUGUUGUGAAGCAAAUGUGUUCUUAAAAUAUGCUAUGGAUGUAACAGAUCCACUCAAUCAAUAGUACCAGAUGUAUUUUUUUAUACACGGGGUGUAGGUUUAUAUUUUCCACUUUGAAGGUUUUGAUCAUAAUACACACUGGCUAGUUUUCUGAAUAUCAUGUAGGAUGUAAAUUUUAUACAGUAAAUACAUCCUGUUUCGGACGACUGGAUUGUCUUGCCUAAACGUAGGAUGUAUAUUUCAUAUUCCUGAGUUUUUUUCGUAAGGAUAUACAAUAUGAUCUUCCAAAAGUUAAUUGGAUGGAACAAACACAUGAAAUCACUAGUAUUAGAUGUAUCUUUUAAAUGUUGGAUGUAUGUUCUCAUACAUGAACGUUAACAUCAUUACUAUUAUAUGUAUCAAAAUACUAAGUAUGUUUUUUGAUCGCUGCUUGUACAAUAGCUGGAUGUAUAUUUCCAUGUUUUAAGAAGUAAUUUCUAUGUAACAAACUAAUAAAAUCAUUAGUACUAGUUGAAGAUUUUUCCACAUGAAGAUUUUUUUGAGAAUAAAUGGUUAAUGCAUAAUCCGUAGCAUGUAAAUAUUAGUCAUUAAAUACGCCCUGGUUAAUGAAUAAUCGAUUGGACUUCAUCGUCGCCUUUGAAUCAUAGGUUGAUAGCGCGUUUUUCCUGUUGACACUUCCAUGUCAGCGGUGUUGCUCCCAUUAACUUGCUUGCCAUGCCUGGCUGGUUUAGUUACAUCUAGAGCUUGUGUUCAGCUUUGAUUUCAAGCUUGUUCCAUAAGUGGUGGUGACUUCUCUGCUGUCCCGAGUGUGUUCCGUGUAGUGUAGUUGUGCUCCUGCUUUUAGUUUUAGCUUGUUGUUUGAUCAGCUUUGCAAGAGGUUCUCCUCAACACCUCUUAUCGUUCGGCCGUGAUGGCUUUAUUAAUUUAAAGUUGGGCUUUAUAGCCUUUUAUCUAUCAAAAACUCAACAUGGUAGCUGCCUGAUGCAGACCACAAUUAGAUCGGUUUGAACAUGUGGAUUGAACCCGUAGCUGGGAACUAGUUUGGAUGGGUUUGUGUGGAAAAUUUAUGGUUUGGUUUGGAUCCUAGUAUGCAGCAUUUAGUUUGGUUGCGAUAGAUUGGUACACACUUUGUACAAUUUGGGUUGGAUUUGAUCUGGUUUGAAAGCAUUCCCAGCCGUAACAGUAAGGGAUCAUCUAAAUUUUUGCUUCAACUGUAAGUAAAAUUAUGCGUAUGGAUGUAUUAUUAUGUCCUUAUUGUAUCAUAUGAUGUACUUUUAUAUUCCUUGAAGUUUUGGUCAGAUUAAACUCUAGUUUCUUGUUUGAUCAACAUGAUGUAUUUUUAUAAUAAUAUUGUGCAUACAUGAUGUAUUAUUGUAUCAUAGGAAGUACUUUUGCAUCCCUUCAAGUUUUGUUUCACAUUACACAAUAGGGCUCUUUCCUAAUUAUUUUUUGAUUCAACAUGAUGUAUUUUCUCGUUAAAAAUUUGCAUAUGGGAUGUAUAUUUCUAGUCAUAUGAUGUUCUAUUUUUAUUCUCUCAAGUAUUGGGUCAGAUUAGACAGUAGGUUUUUCUUGAUUCAACAUGAUGUAUUUUUUAUUCUGAUGCAUGUUAUUCUUACAUCCCUCGAUUAUUAAUUUUAAUCAAAACCACAUCAAUGUGUUUUCAAUGGUAUAUGUAGUUAUACAACCGGUGAAUUGCAUAUGUUGUUUUCGAUUUAUUCUGCAUUGUCGCACAACCAUAAUGUAGUUGUUAAUAGUUUGUGAUGUAUUUUUCCAUGUAAUAUAUUUGCUAAAAAAUAUUUACACAAGCAAUCUGGAUGUAAUUUUACAACUAUCAGCAGCCAUGUAUUUUUACUGUGAUGUAAUUUUAGUAUAAAACACAAUGGGUUUAUUACGUC